rnacentral:rRNA from 1 species
GAUGAACGCUAGCGGCAGGCCUAAUACAUGCAAGUCGAGGGGCAGCACAGUGUAGCAAUACAUGGGUGGCGACCGGCAAACGGGUGCGGAACACGUACGCAACCUUCCUUUAAGCGGGGAAUAGCCCAGAGAAAUUUGGAUUAAUACCCCAUAAGAAUGUGAUCUGGCAUCAGGUAGCAUUUAAAGAUUUAUCACUUAGAGAUGGGCGUGCGUCUGAUUAGGUAGUUGGUGAGGUAACGGCUCACCAAGCCGACGAUCAGUAACUGGCGUGAGAGCGCGACCAGUCACACGGGCACUGAGACACGGGCCCGACUCCUACGGGAGGCAGCAGUAAGGAAUAUUGGUCAAUGGACGGAAGUCUGAACCAGCCAUGCCGCGUGGAGGAUGAAGGCCCUCUGGGUUGUAAACUUCUUUUAUCUGGGACGAAACACUUCCUUUCUAGGGAGCUUGACGGUACCAGGUGAAUAAGCACCGGCUAACUCCGUGCCAGCAGCCG